rnacentral:rRNA from 1 species
GUACAGUUCGCUGUACGGCUAGAUUAGUGGCGAACGGGUGAGUAAUACCUAGGAAUCUGCCUGGAAGUUCGGAAUAACCGCUAGAAAUGACGGCUAAUACCGGAUGUUCCCCGAGGGGAAAAGGGAAUUGAGUUCUCAGAUCCGCGUCUUCAAAAGAGACGUCGGUCUGAGGGUUUGGUUUUUGCUUCCAGAUGAGCCUAUGUUAGAUUAAUUAGUUGGUGGGGUAAAGGCCU